rnacentral:rRNA from 1 species
CCUACGGGAGGCAGCAGUGGGGAAUAUUGGGCAAUGGGCGCAAGCCUGACCCAGCAACGCCGCGUGAAGGAAGAAGGCCCUCGGGUUGUAAACUUCUUUUGGCAGGGACGAAACAAAUGACGGUACCUGACGAAUAAGCCACGGCUAACGACGUGCCAGCAGCCGCGGUAAUACGUAGGGGGCAAGCGUUAUCCGGAUUUACUGGGUGUAAAGGGCGGGUAGGCGGGAGAGCAAGUCAGAUGUGAAAUUCCAGGGCUCAACCCUGGAACUGGAUUUUAAACUGUUUUUCUUGAGUGUUGGAGAGGCAGGCGGAAUUCCGUGUGUAGCGGUGAAAUGCGUAGAUAUACGGAGGAACCCCAGUGGCGAAGGCGGCCUGCUGGACAUUAACUGACGCUGAGGCGCGAAAGCGUGGGGAGCAAACAGGAUUAGAUACCCUUGUAGUC